rnacentral:rRNA from 1 species
GCGCACCAGGCGAGAAUACUUUACAAUGUGCGAAAGCACGAUAAGGGAACUCUGAGUGCCUCCUAAGGAGGCUGUUCAGGUGCCUAAAAAGCACCUGAAGGAAGGGCUGGGUAAGACCGGUGCCAGCCGCCGCGGUAACACCGGCAGCCCAAGUGGUAGCCACGUUUAUUGGGUCUAAAGCGUCCGUAGCCGGCUGGGUAAGUUCCUUGGGAAAUUUGGCUGCUUAACAGUCAAGCUUUCAGGGAAUACUGCCCGGCUUGGGACCGGGAGAGGUCAGAGGUACUCCAGGGGUAGGGGUGAAAUCCAUUAAUCCCUGGGGGACCACCGGUAGCGAAGGCGUCUGACCAGACCAGGUCCGACGGUGAGGGACGAAGGCUAGGGUCGCGAACCGGAUUAGAUACCCGCGUAGU